GCCUGGUGCGGUGGCAUGGUGCCCUGAAUCCACAGUCCCUGGGCAGGCUGAGGUUGGUGGACACGUGAGCUGAGGAGAUCUCGGCUGCCAGCACACUAUUUGUCGAACGGGUCACCUCCCGCUAAGUUCGGUAUCAUAUGGGUGCUCCUGGGGGGACCCGGACCCCCGUUGUCUAAGGAGGGGUGAACCGGCCCAGUCGGGAAACGAAGCAGGCAACUCCCCGCUGCUGUCCAGUAGUGGAUAAUACCUGUGAGUAGAUGCUGCAGUGCAGCCUUGGCAAAACUUCGGAGACCUAAUCUUUC
rnacentral:SRP_RNA from 1 species